GCGUCACUGCCCUACCCCUCUGUGUUCCCGUGGACACUUGGCCAGUGCGAAUGCAAAUGACAAAACUGGGGGAGAGUAGUUAGUAGAACUGUUUAGAAGUGGACUGUUCCUAUAACUAAGUUCCUGUAACUACUUGGUCGGAAAGUGUCUAUACAUUCCCACUUUCUAUAUCUG